rnacentral:rRNA from 1 species
GACGAACGCUGGCGGCGUGCCUAAUACAUGCAAGUCGAGCGAUGACGGGACGGGUGAGUAACACGUGGAUAACCUCCUAUAAGACCGCGAUAACUGCGGGUAACCGGAGCUAAACCGGAUACUUAUAGAUGGAUCCUCGCUGCAUUAGCUAGUUGGUAAGGUAACGGCUUACCAAGGCAACGAUGCAUAGCCGACCUGAGAGGGUGAUCGGCCACAAUUGAACUGAGACACGGGCCAGACUCCUACGGGGGGCAGCAAUAGGGAAACGUCGGGAAUGGGGGGAAACCUGACCGAGCAACGCCGCGUGAGUGAAGAAGGUUUUCGGGUCAUAAAGCUCUGUUGGUGAGGAAGCGGUACUUAACCAGAAAGGGACGGCUAACUACGUGCCAGCAGCCGCGGUAAUUC